rnacentral:rRNA from 1 species
CGUCGCAUGGCGAGGAUACUAAAGGUGGGGAUUCUUCGGAACCUGCCGCUUGGAGAGGGGCCCGCGUGCCAUUGGCUUGUUGGUGAGGUAACUGCUCACCAAGGCGUAUGGCUAGCUGGUCUGAGAGGAUGAUCAGCCACACUGGGACUGAGACACUGCCCAGACUCCUACGGGAGGCUGCAGUCGAGGAUCAUUCGCAAUGCGCGAAAGCGUGACGAUGCGACGCUGCGUGGAGGAUGACGGCUUUCGGGUUGUAAACUCCUGUCAUUCGGGAAAAAUUGCUACGGGGUUAAUACCCCCGAAGCGUGAUGGUACCGGAAGAGGAAGCCACGGCUAACUCUGUGCCAGCAGCCGCGGUAAUACAGAGGUGGCGAGCGUUGUUCGGAUUUACUGGGCGUAAAGCGUGCGCAGGCGGUUUCGUAUGUCGGGUGUGAAAGCCCAUGGCUCAACUGUGGAAUUGCAUCCGAAACUGCGGAACUAGAGUGCAGGAGGGGAGAGCGGAAUUCUUGGUGUAGCGGUGAAAUGCGUUGAUAUCAAGAGGAACACCGGUGGCGAAGGCGGCUCUCUGGAAUGUAACUGACGCUAAAGCACGAAAGCUGGGGAGCGAACAGGAUUAGAUACCCUGGUAGUCCCAGCCGUAAACUGUGUCGACUUGGUGUUGGGGGUAUUGACCCCCCCAGUGCCGGAGCUAACGCGUUAAGUCGACCGCCUGGGGAGUACGGCCGCAAGGCUAAAACUCAAAGAAAUUGACGGGGGCCCGCACAAGCGGAGGAGCAUGUGGCUUAAUUCGAUGCAACGCGAAGAACCUUACCAGGGCUUGACAUAGUGCUGCAAGCCACCCGAAAGGGAGGUCGCUUUCGAAGGUGCAUUACAGGUGCUGCAUGGCUGUCGUCAGUUCGUGCCGUGAGGUGUUGGGUUAAGUCCCGCAACGAACGCAACCCUUGUGGUUAGUUGCCACCGGCGGUGAUGAGCCGCCGAGCACUCUAGCCAGACUGCCCGUACAAGCGGGAGGAAGGUGGGGAUGACGUCAAGUCAGUAUGGCCCUUACGCCCUGGGCUGCACACGUGCUACAAUGGUCGGUACAAUGGGACGCAAUAUCGUGAGGUGGAGCAAAUCCCCAAAACCGGCCCCAGUUCGGAUUGGAGUCUGCAACUCGACUCCAUGAAGUCGGAUUCGCUAGUAACGGCGUAUCAGCUACGACGCCGUGAAUAC